GCUCCACUGUUAGUGACCCCACAAACUGCCCAAGCCACCCAACUGUCACCCACAUUCAGAGGGCCUAGUUCGGUCUUUUGGAGGUUCCCCAGCUGUCUGGAGUCAGUGAGCUAGGUGGCCCCUUUCAGUGGCAGCUAAAAUAAAAGGUGGAAAAGAAAGGCUUGUGUUGCCUGCUUGCUUUCACUUUAAUGGCAAGCUCAAUUGUGCUGUUGCUAUGUUCUUUCACUGAUAGCAAAAUCAGCUUCUUCAGGUUUCUAACAUGUCCUGAAGACCAGCAACUCUCCAGGCUCUCCAGGGACCCUCCCAGCUUUCAGUGCUGAUGAUGCCCCCACAGAAUGAGCAGCCACAGGAUUCUCAUGAUGUUCUGAGGUAGCCAUUGUUGGCCUAUUCAGAUCACACCAUAUAAUCCAAUCUAAUAGAUCAGCAUUAGCUCCAUUAAUUCCCAAUGCAAAACUGCUUGAUGUGUUUGAGGAACAGGCAUGGAAUCCAAAAACUGAAGACUAUGAGUGACAACCAGAACAUGUUCAUGUAAGUACAGCAGAGGCCAUAGCCAACUGAGUUUAUAUGUGGAAAGCUGUGUAUCCGAGGAACAGACUAUAUGAUAGGGUUUCCGCUGUGAAUUCUUAACCUGCUUCAGUUCAAAUCCUAACACAGACUGACUGAGCAAUUCAUAGUGUCUCUCCUCAGAAAAUGCAGAUAAUGGAACCUGUUUCAUAUUUGUUUGAAAAAUCAAGUUGUUCAUUAUUCAUUCUAGUUGGUAAGAGUUCAUAUUAUCUGUUGUGUGUGUAAUGGACUUGGGGAAAUAUCAGCAUCGAAAUCACAUGUAGGAUUUGAAAUCACAUGUUGGAUUUGAGUGGUGGCAGUGAGCUGGAAGUAGGUGAGCAGCUAAUGAAAAUGAUAGCUCAUAUUAAUUAUGGGGUAAUAUGUGUUGGGCAGCAUCCUAAGCUCUGUUAAGUGUCAAGCACUACUCCAAGCUUUCUGUAUGUGUCACAACAAUCCAUGAGCUAGGUUCUAUUGUUAUUCCUGUUUUACAAAUGAAGGAACUGCACUAUUUAACUUGCCCAAGCUCACAUAGUCAGUAAACAGCAGAACCACAACAAAAACCCAGGCUCUACACUCUAACCUCUGCCUGACUGCUUCUCAUAUAAGGUAGCAGAAUUACACUCUAAUCACAGGUGAUCACAGUCUUUGGCUAUUGUGCUGGUUGGUUUUGUCAACUUGACAUAAAUAUAAACACGGGCAGAAAGACACUUACGGUCAGGUCAGCGCCACAGGUUAGAUCUCUCACUACAGAGAAUAGGCUACUACUGUCCUUUUUGAUGCUCUGGAGAGCUCCAACAGGGAGCUCAGCUUGGUUUAUUCACAGUGCAGCCCACCACUAUGACAGCAAGCCACCUACAACCCUAAGCCUCAGCUUCCUUGUCUUUAACAUCACAGGGCCAGAUGGAGCCGGUUCCCUGCUGUCCUGUCUUGUUCUGCCUUGUUGGGAGCCAGAUCCUGGGUUAUAGUCUCUUUGAUGUGACGACAAAGCUAUCUCUGAAGUUUCCCUGAUGUCACCUUUUGCUUCCCCUGUUCUCUUUUCUCAUGUUCCGCCAAUAACUGACACCUUGAUUCUUCUGUCCCCUUUAUCUCCCUCUUUCUAAUGUCUUCCAUUUCUUUAUCACCCUUAUAAUUUUUCUCUGCCCGUGCAAUAUCCACAUUUCUUAUAGCUGAAUGUAUACUGAACAUUUUAACAGCUUUGCUGAGAGGUGUAAUUCAUUGGGUCUAUGAUCCACUCAUGUAAAGUGUAUAGUUUGGAGGUGGUUAGUAUAUUCAGACUUGUGCAUUCUUCACCACAAUCAAUUUUCAAACAUUAUCAUUACACCCGGAGACACUCAACAUCCCUUAGCUAUGAUCUCUCUGUAAUCUCAGCUCCACAGUCUCAGGUGACCUCUACUAAUACAUGUUGUCUCAAAAUUUAUUUAUUCUGUAUAUAUCAUAUAUAGGAAUCAUUUGUAAUUAAGCUGCCAUCACUUGACAAUUUCAUUGACAUCAUGGCACAUACCAGAAUUUCUCUGUUCUGUUGCUGAGUAAUACUACAUUGUGUGGACAUACUUAGUUUUACUUCCUAAUCAUCAGCUGAUGGACAUUGAGGUUACUUCUAAUUUUUUCCUCAUUGUAAAAUGUUUCAGUGAACAUUUGGGCUAGUUUUCAUAUGGACAUAUAUUUUCAUCUUUCUUUUUACAACUUUGGGGUGGAAUUGCUGGAUUAUAUAGCAACACUUGAGAAAUUACCAGCCAUUUCCCAGAGUGGCGGAACUACUGCACAUUCCUUCCAACCAUGUAUAAAGGAUCCAUUCUCAGCACUCUUGCUAUCACUUGUUACUAGCCAUGCUGGUCAUUUGAAGUACGCCACACAAAAUUUUUAAAAUACCUUUGAAUAGCCAUUUAUGUUACUGAUGCAGUUUCCUAAUAUCUAAAAAGGAGUAGACCGUAUAGGUUGAACCUAUUUCUUUACAUAAUUAACAUAAAUUGUUUUAAUAUUGUUAGCAUCCAGGAACACCUUGGCCCUGCCCCUUGGGGCACAUGGCAAGUACCCUGGCUCUGUAUGUAGGCGCAAAAGGUCCCUUUAAGAGACAAACUCCAUCUACUCCCACUCUCUUGCUGUUCCUCUCAAGAGGCAGACAAGUCUUUGCAGUCCCCCUCCUCUUCCCCCGACCCCGUUCUUUCUGUCUCUCUCUUUCUCCCUUCACUUCUCCUCUCUCUUUCUCUCUUCACUUACUCUCCUCCCUUCCCCCAGUAAAACUUCCAAGUUUUGUCGUCAUAGGUGCUUGUCCCUCACCUGCCAUGGUUUGGAUUCACCUGCCAAGGUCCAAUCUCGUGCCCUAUCACAACAUAUAAGAAUAUAUAAAUAAAAUAAAGUUAAUUCUUUGCAUAAUUAA